AUUGAACGCUGGCGGAAUGCUUUACACAUGCAAGUCGAACGGCAGCACGGACUUCGGUCUGGUGGCGAGUGGCGAACGGGUGAGUAAUGUAUCGGAACGUGCCCAGUCGUGGGGGAUAACGUAGUGAAAAUUACGCUAAUACCGCAUACGAUCUAUGGAUGAAAGCGGGGGAUCGCAAGACCUCGCGCGAUUGGAGCGGCCGAGAUCAGAUUAGGUAGUUGGGGGGGUAAAGGCCCACCAAGCCAACGAUCUGUAGCUGGUCUGAAAGGACGACCAGCCACACUGGAACUGAGACACGGUCCAGACUCCUACGGGGGGCAGCAGUGGGGAAUUUUGGACAAUGGGCGAAAGCCUGAUCCAGCCAUUCCGCGUGCAGGAUGAAGGCCCUCGGGUUGUAAACUGCUUUUGUACAGAACGAAAAGGUUUCUACUAAUACUAGGAGCUCAUGACGGUACUGUAAGAAUAAGCACCGGCUAACUACGUGCCAGCAGCCGCCGCCG
rnacentral:rRNA from 1 species